rnacentral:rRNA from 1 species
GAUGAACGCUGGCGGCGUGCUUAACACAUGCAAGUCGAACGAUGAAGCCCAGCUUGCUGGGUGGAUUAGUGGCGAACGGGUGAGUAACACGUGAGUAACCUGCCCUUAACUCUGGGAUAAGCCUGGGAAACUGGGUCUAAUACCGGAUAGGAGCGUCCACCGCAUGGUGGGUGUUGGAAAGAUUUAUCGGUUUUGGAUGGACUCGCGGUCUAUCAGCUUGUUGGUGAGGUAAUGGCUCACCAAGGCGACGACGGGUAGCCGGCCUGAGAGGGUGACCGGCCACACUGGGACUGAGAGACGGCCCAGACUCCUACGGGAGGCAGCAGUGGGGAAUAUUGCACAAUGGGCGCAAGCCUGAUGCAGCGACGCCGCGUGAGGGAUGACGGCCUUCGGGUUGUAAACCUCUUUCAGUAGGGAAGAAGCGAAAGUGACGGUACCUGCAGAAGAAGCACCGGCUAACUACGUG